AUUCGUUACACGAUGAGCGUAUGCACAUACAUAUGUGCAAUAAAAACAAAAAAAAAACGCAAAGAUAGGAGAAAACCAACAGCAAAAAUAAAUAUAGUGGAGUGGGCGGAUUGGGUGGGUUACUGAAGGCGCGCUGUGAUGGCUUGAGUUUUUUUUUUUUACAAAUGAAUUGAGUUGAGUUGGAAAAGACAGUUGCAUUGGUGAUGGAAGAAGAAUCAUUGUAUUUGAUUGCAAAACACUUCCCCCGGUGUAAAAGAAAAAGGAAAGGAGCGCAGAGUAUUGGCAAGAAAUUAAAGAAAGCAAGUGAAUUGCGCAGGAGGAGAGUUGAUGUGAAAUAAAAGGUGAACAAAUGAAUUUUAGCAAUACCAACAGUUAAGAAAAUCAAAGCAACAAUAAUGAUAGCAGUAACAAAAAACAUAGCGAUGGCAUAAGUGUAAAUUUUUUAAAGUCAAAGUAGGAAGGAGAACUGGAAGAGGAAGAGGAGAAAACGGCAGACAGUUAUGGCAAAUACGAUAACGUAUAUUUACCACAUACAACUGUACAUGGGCAAGUAUGCCUGCAUGUAUGCAUGUAUAUACAUGCAUUGGGAAGAUGAACGACAACAGCAAUUGCUGCAACAACAACAGCAACACCAGCAUAUCCCACACAUGGCAGUGCCAACAAAUUGGAAAAGCAUUUAAAAAACUUUUACGAUUGGUGCUUUGAAGCGUUUGAAACGAUUGGGUGGUCUUUGCCACUGUCGUCGUCACUGUCAUCGUUGCUUCGCUUCGUGUACGCUUGUUGUCAAUUUGCUUGCUGUUUCGCUGCCUUCACUAACGGCACCUGCAAUUCCGCUACAAGCACUCACAUGUACUGGGAAAAGUGGGUGCUCGUACUUACAUACAUACAUUCAAACAUACAUUUGCAAGUAUUCUGCAUUGUAUGUCGGUGUGUCUAUUUGUGUACUUCGUUAAUUUUGCUCUUCACUGUUAGCGGGUGGCAGCAGCACACUCGAAUUUUCUUCGUAGUUGUUGGCGGCAACGCCUCAAACUUUUAACCAAAUCAAAGUGGGUGAAGGUUCAUGGCAAGGUGCUUGGCUGUCGAAUAAACGAAAUUAAUGGAAAAUUCUUUACCAAGAAAUCGAGAUUCGUGUACAUGCCACUCCACUUAAAUCUGAUUUAUGAUUGGACUUGGAUUGAAAACUGAAAAGAAUGAGAUAGAAUAUUCAGGUAGACAAUGUUUUAGUAAUGCACUUAACCCUCCGUUGGACACCUUUUUUAAAAUCUUCGAUUGGGCACUUCUGGCCUUUUUCAUCCUGUUCGGUGAUCCUUUUUAAAAGGCAAAUCGAUGAAAAAUUAAAUUGUAGAAAGCUACCUGGAAGCUCAAGUUGUUAGCUACAAUAGAAAUAUGUUAAAUUUGCGUCCAAAGUGCAGAUUCCGGUAUCCAACGGAUGAUUAAAUAGUUUCUGAAUACCGAAUAUUAUGAAACAUUCCGUAAAUGUACAACGAUAUUCAUUUCCUAAGGCGGCCGCCAUAGCCGAAUGGGUUGGUGCGUGACUACCAUUCGGAAUUCGCAGAGAGAGCGUCGGUUCGAAUCUCGGUGAAACACCAAAAUUAAGAAAAAUAUUUUUCUAAAAGCGGUCGCCCCUCGGCAGGCAAUGGCGAACCUUUGAGUGUAUUUCUACGAUGAAAAAGCUCCUCAUAAAAAAUAUCUGUCGUUCGGAGUCGGCUUGAAACUUGUAAGUCCCUCCAUUUGUGGAACAACAUCAAAACGCACACUACAAAUAGGCGGAGGAGCUCGGCCAAACACCCAAAAAGGGUGUACGCGCCAAUUAUAUAUGUAUAUAUAUACAAUAUAUAUAUAUAUAUUCAUUUCCUAGACAAAAUUUCAGUUUCAUGUAUUUAUUUUAAUUAUUUAAAAAUAUGGCAAAUAUUUGUAUAUUUUACAACUGCAUGCCAGCACUUUAAUGUAUAUUUUUGGCAUAUUUUUUAAGGAUAUUGAAAUUAAAUAUGUUACGAUUACCUGCUUUCAUUAGCAAACUGAUAGACAAAAUUGGGCAAAAGUGUUAAGUAAGAUUAAUUUUUAAUCAACCGAAGGCGUUGUUACCAGUGCUAUGCUUAAUAUGCAAUGUAUUUAUUU